rnacentral:rRNA from 1 species
CGCCAGCAGUGGAGUAUGUGGUUUAUUCGAAGCAACGCGAAGAACCUUACCAGGUCUUGACAUCCUACUAACGAGAUAGAGAUAUGUUAGGUGCCCUUCGGGGAAAGUAGAGACAGGUGGUGCAUGGUUGUCGUCAGCUCGUGUCGUGAGAUGUUGGGUUAAGUCCCGCAACGAGCGCAACCCUUGCUAUUAGUUGCUACGCAAGAGCACUCUAAUAGGACUGCCGUUGACAAAACGGAGGAAGGUGGGGACGACGUCAAAUCAUCAUGCCCCUUAUGACCUGGGCUACACACGUACUACAAUGGACAUAAACAGAGGGAAGCAAAACAGCGAUGUGGAGCAAACCCCUAAAAAUGUUCUCAGUUCAGAUUGCAGGCUGCAACCCGCCUGUAUGAAGAUGGAAUUGCUAGUAAUCGCAGAUCAGCAUGCUGCGGUGAAUACGUUCCCGGGCCUUGUACACACCGCCCGU